rnacentral:rRNA from 1 species
AAGCUCGUAGUUGAAUUUCGGGAUUAGUACGUCGGUCGUGCCUUAGGUACGUACUGGUGUUACUGGUUCCUACCUUCUGACGAACCAUCAUGUCAUUAAUUUGGUGUGGUGGGGAAUCAGGACUGUUACUUUGAAAAAAUUAGAGUGUUUAAAGCAGGCUCGCGCUUGAAUACAUUAGCAUGGAAUAAUGAAAUAGGACGUUGAUCCUAUUUUGUUGGUUUCUAGGAUUGACGUAAUGAUUAAUAGGGAUAGUGGG